CCGCCCAGCUCAAGAGAGCCGGUGCUGAUUGGGCGAGUGUCGCGGACAGGCUUCAGGUUCCGCGUUAUCCGCGCUGAUUGGUUCCGCGAUCACUGGGCGAGAGCCACGGAAAGUCGUCGGGUUCCGCGAUGUCCGCGAAGUCCGCGCUGAUUGGGCGAGACUGCUAAAGCCCCUGUACUGAUUGGUUAACAGCUCCGCCGUGUACGCCUAUGUUGUGACGUCAUAUUACCGUGACGAUGCUGCUAGUGCCCUGGUGCCUGUUGUGCGGUCUUGAGGGUCUCUCUCUGUCUCUGGGUGUUCUUGUGCAGCAGUCUGAGCUCUGACUCAGUGAUGGACAGGUGUCGUCCCCACUAUAGUAGAGACACUAGAGAAGAGUGUCCCGCUCUCAGCCUGUCCAGACCCCUUCAGCACAGCCUCCCACUGACACUCAUUCACACUGUGGAAGUGUUUCUGUAAGUCUAAUUUUAUUUUUUCAAUUAUAAUGAUUUAUUAUGUUGGAAAUGAAGCUGUGCUCUCUAAGCCUCUGUAGAUGUGUUUUGCAAUUUACUCAAGACUGUCAGGCCUGGGGGCUGGGGGGCCGAUUCUCAUCAGCAGGGAAAGAGCCCAUCAGCCCCAGAGACACAGGAGCCCCUGAGACAGAACAGAGUCUAAGAGCAACAACCUCUACUGCUGUGUGAACUGAGUGAUGAAAAUCAAAUCCAGAAUGAUCAGUGCCACUA